rnacentral:rRNA from 1 species
CGGGAGGCAGCAGUGGGGAAUCUUAGACAAUGGGGGCAACCCUGAUCUAGCCAUGCCGCGUGAGUGAUGAAGGCCUUAGGGUCGUAAAGCUCUUUCGCCUGUGAUGAUAAUGACAGUAGCAGGUAAAGAAACCCCGGCUAACUCCGUGCCAGCAGCCGCGGUAAUACGGAGGGGGUUAGCGUUGUUCGGAAUUACUGGGCGUAAAGCGCGCGUAGGCGGAUUAGAAAGUUGGGGGUGAAAUCCCGGGGCUCAACCCCGGAACUGCCUCCAAAACUGCUAGUCUAGAGUUCGAGAGAGGUGAGUGGAAUUCCGAGUGUAGAGGUGAAAUUCGUAGAUAUUCGGAGGAACACCAGUGGCGAAGGCGGCUCACUGGCUCGAUACUGACGCUGAGGUGCGAAAGUGUGGGGAGCAAACAGGAUUAGAUACCCUGGUAGUCCACACCGUAAACGAUGAAUGCCAGUCGUCGGAUAGUAUACUAUUCGGUGACACACCUAACGGAUUAAGCAUUCCGCCUGGGGAGUACGGUCGCAAGAUUAAAACUCAAAGGAAUUG